rnacentral:lncRNA from 1 species
AUGGGUCCGGCAGAGCAGAGCGGGUGGAAGGCGUGUCUGCGGAGCAAGGUUCCAGGGAGAAGGGACCCACAGGACAGUUUCAGAAGAGUUCCCUCGGCCAAACGAGGGGGACCGGGAUGGGCAAGGGCUCUCCCGGCAGGGGACAGCCGUCCGCGGGCCGGAGGGGCCCCAGGGCCCAGCGCAUUGGGGGGGCCACGCCGCGCCCGGAUGGGCGGGGCUGUGAGGCAGCAGGUGUGCGUUACCUGCCGGGCCCGGCUGGGGAGGCUGCAGCUGGCCUGGGUCCUGGGACAGGCAGAGGCUCCCGCAGGACGGAGGCCUCCCUGGGACUUCAGGGGGCUAUUUCCCGACCUUGCCCUUGAGCAAUUACAGGAGGCGCCCGGCACAUUCCCCACAGCCCCGGGUCAGCCUGGAGCCCUGCUCGGGGCCUGCCUCAGCCCCGGCGCUUUGGGGGCGUCUCGUCGGGUUUGGGUUCCCAACAUUCACUGGUUCUUGUCUGGGGCGACACCCUCCCGCACCUGCCGCUUGGACGAGCCAGCCCCCGCGACCCGCGACCCUGGCCGCUCGGCCCUGGCUCCUAGUCCGAUCUCCUCAGAGCCCCGCAGCGACCCUUCCCCGCGCCGCGGCCUCACAGCCCUCGGUCCCCUCAGGCCGCCCCCCCCACCACGUGGCCGGCGGCCCUCUUCCGCCCCUCUCGGCCGCACCCCUCCCCGCCGCGGUACCUGGGGCUCUCGAAGCUGCACCCCCUGCGCCGCAGCGCCGCCCUCUUCUGCCGCAGAAGCGCAGCGGCCGCCCCGCCGGGCUCCGGCUCCAUCGCCCCGGGCGGGGGCAGCGGGCUCGGACGCACUCGGGUGGGCUCGGGCCUCGGCGGGGCUCGGCCGGCCGCUCGGCUCGCACGCCGCAGCCCAUGCCCCGCCCCGCGCGCCGCCGCCGGUCCGAGGCCCCGCCCCGCCCCCACCCCGAACUCCGGCCCAGCCCACUCCCUGCCCCGCAGCCGGGGCCAGACCCCGCCUCGACCCCGCCCCGAGUCUCAGCCCCGCCCCGCCCGUGCUCCGGAGUCAGGCCCCGCCCCGCCCCGAACUUCAGCCUCGUCCUCCCCGAGCUCCUCAGGCGGGUCAAGGUCCCGCUCAAGCCCCGAGCUCCAGCCACGCCCUUCCCACGCCGGCCCCGCCGGGUGCAGGGGGCGCCGUCCUCACCUCCGUCGGGCCCACUCGCAAACGCCGCCCUGUCCCCAGCCGUCGGGCCCGCGGCCCCGCCCCCCGCUCCUAG